AGUGAUUUUUCAGACCCAAAACAAGUUGCACUUAAUUCUACUGGACAGGUUUUUGUUCCCAGAUCAGAUGGUUGUGGUAAUUUACCCCAGUUCUGAUGUUCAAAAGCACCAUGGGUUAACUUGCAGUGUUUUAUCCUGUUUGUUACUUGUUCUUCUCUGUACUCUCUGCUGUUUUCUCUCAGACUUAGCCUAUUUAUUAUCAUCCAUCAUCCCCGUAUUCUAAUUUAGCAAAAAUGUCAUCUCCCUGCCUCAUUCGGAGUUCCACCAUAUGUCUUGUUCUUUUCUCUCUGCAUUACUAGUCAGUUCUGCCUUCUGGAUUUUUGGGGGUUUUUUUCCUUAUUUUUUCCCAUCAUCUCCCUUUUCCUCCCCUCUUUUCUGUGACUUUCUUUUUUCCAUAGCUUACCACUGUAAAAAUGUACUGCUUACCUCUUCCACAAAAACCUUUCAUUUCCCUUUUUUCAUACUUCCCCCAAACUCUUCUCUUCUCUCUAACGAGCCUAGCGUUUCUUUUUCUCACCAUCCUCCUGCUACCACCCUUGUAACUCUUGCUUUCUGUACGAUAUCUGCAGCAGCAGCCUCUGGAUAGAAAAAGGACUUGCUUUACCAAAUGACAUGCCUGACAGCUGUGCCACCCCGGAGCAAAAGGACAGUGGAGAUGAGCGCAACAGAGCUCCAGCCUCCAUGGACUGUGCUUCAGGGCUACAGAGAGAUGUCUCUGCUGUCAGGACAUCCAAGGCUCCAUGGGAAAACAUUGUUCCUUGCAGAGCUGACUGGAAAGCUGCGGCUUACCCCUAUACAGUAAGAUAACAGUCCUGUAGUUGCUGGUUUCUUCCCCACUACCCGCUAGCACCAGAUACCAGGGUGACCCUUCUGGUUCCAAGUGGAAGGCACAAGUGAGCAUUGACAGAUGUUUGCAAGGGAGAGCCUGUGCUUUGGGAGCACCCGUGGUCCUGCUGAUGUAGCUCUCUACACAUACCUGGUGUUCCCAGGCGGGCUUGUGCAAUGGUUAGCUUCUCAUGGGGGGCUUGGCACUGACAGCUUGUUUCGUCUGCAAAUGGAGCAGGUGCCGUCAGAGUCUGGAAGGAGGAAAAAACACAAAGGAAGUAAAUUUAUUUUCUCCAUCAAGCAGUUAAAAAAGAACCACUUAACUGUGGCAGGAUGCUGUAACCAGGCCUAAUGCUGGUUUGUUCUCUGGGGAUUUUUGCUUUUUGGUCACCCCUGAGCACACACAAUUCGCACAAGGUAAAAUGAUGAGGAAAAUAAAGCUUUCCAAACACAUCAUGCACCCUAAUUCUUUGUUUCUGUUGAGAAGCUUAAGCAUUUUUGAGGUGGCUACAGGUACAUAAUUUUUCUGUUUGCAGAACAAAGUCGGGUUUGAUGGCCCAAGCAGCUUAAUCCUUGGUUUGGUCUCAACGACGCCAAAGGUCCAAGAUGCAAAAUGUAUUCUGCUACCUGCAAGUAAUAGCUGGAAAAACUAAUUGGGAUUCAGAAAGCUGCAAAUGAGCCACCUCUUCACAAGCACCAGUUCCUUCCACUGAUAUCAGUACAGGUAACUGGGACUACAGAUUGUUUUGUUGUGGUUUUAAUCAGAAUCUUGUAUAAUUUUGAGGAGCCAUUCAAAAUAAAGGCAAGAAUGCAACCAGAAGUCCCACCUAACUACAGCUAACUGAACUGCAGCUCCUUUCUCCGGUCUGACACAUACUGUAAUAGCACUAAAAUGCUCUAACUGUGAUCUGAGCACCACAAGGGCACUUGCUCUGAAGAGCUUAUAACCUAAAGAUAUAAGAGAGAGAGUGAGGACGCAUGAAGAAUGAUGUGGCAUUAUCUGUCAGGAAACUUGAUUAUAGAAAUUGUAUUUUCUGCCCAUGCCUAUGUAGGAAGUUAUCAGCGAUCAGAACUGCAGAAAUUUAUUAUCUGCCAUAUGGUCUGAUAUGAAAAAACGCACUUCUACUGCUCUUGGCUUGAAAUCUUUACGAAAUCAUAGCUGAGUUUUGGUUUGCUUUGUUUCUGUGAGAUGAGGUGGUGGUUGAGACAAGCCGAAGGAAAUCUGUCGCUUACUUUGCCUGCACCAUGAUUUAGCUGGGACCUUGUGGCCUUGCAGCUGUGGCUUGGUUGGGUUUUGACAGUGACCGCUUGCGUGAUGUACAGUUGUCAUACCAGUUUGAGCACCCAUGGUUGAUCAUAACAGAAUCUCUCUUCCCCUUUAUACUUUUUUUCAGCUUUUAGAUGCUGAAUGCUUAAUCACCAAGCAUUUAUUUUCCUUAGCAUCCCUGAGACACUUUAAGACAUGUCAUGCCUAAUUGCUGCUGACCUCUGGGCUCACUGGCUUGUUGCCUGGGAAGCUCAGAGGACAGCAGUAAAACAGCAACAAAGAUUUAAAGAUUCAUAUGCAGCUCUUUCUGCUGAUUUACUAUUCAUUUUGUUUACUGAAAGCACUAAAAUUUUAUGUAGAUUUCUUUUUUUUUCCUUCCUUUUUUCAUAAUCUCAAAUGUUGCAGGAAAUCAUCAUCAUUAGUAUCUUAGUGAUGAAAAUCACAUCAUCUUUGCACAGACAAAGUUAAAAAUGAAGAAACUAUGGCCAAGUCGCAAGUUUCUGCCUGGGUUUCGUAGACGGGAACUGUUCAUCGGGCCACCCAUGCCGCACAGUGUAGAACAUUACACAUAAUCAUACCGUGCCAGCUCCUUCCUUUACUUUCUAAAUACUGUCUUUUUGCUUCUGGCUUUGUGAUUGCUGUGUGCUAACCUGUCUUUUUAUCUCCAAGCAAGGUCAAGUUACAUGGCAGCCCAUACGGCCUGGUUCCCGCUGGGAUAAAGAGGAAGGCAGAAAUGUUAAAACAAUAAUGGCUAUGGUCUGAGGCCUGCAACUGGUAAUCAGAUCCUAGCUUGGCAGAGGCUGUUUCCUUGGAGAUUACUUGAAGAAAAUAGGCCUGGUUUGCAGGAAGAUAUCUCCCCCCCCACCCCGCCCCAGCAAGCACAGUGGUGCUUUUUAUCCAUGUAAACGCCUUUGCAAUGCCAAGAUUUUUCUUUCGGUCUCUGCUCAAUGGAGAACAACCUCUAUUAGCUUCCCAUCAGUCCAGCUUUUGCAAAUGCUCAUCAUUAAAGCUCACCUUACGACCGAGGGCUAAGAACCAGACCUGUCAAUAUUCCCAUUACUCUGUGACCUCUCAGUCACUGGGUAUGCAAAUACAUUAAAUACAAUAGAUUAAAAUCAGCAAUAUUCUAUCAAAGCCACAUAGAGAAAUGCAUCAAUACCAUGUGCUGACAGAUCAAGGGAAAUACAGCAAUAGCUUCCCAAUGAGUAUCCAAUACUAUUUUGUUUGGCCUAGAAAAAAUGUCACUGAGCUUAACAAAAACAUCUUAUAAGAUGAGACCAUUUAGUUUGCAUAUAAGAGCAUAAGAUAAAAUAUUUCAAGAAAUUAUUAAAAACCAGAAAUAAUUUAUCAAACCUCUUUCAGUUUGUAUAUAAUUACUGGUAUUCUAUCCAGUUUCUUGUCAGUAAUAACUAGAAUUGGGAGAAGACAGCAAGUAAUUUAUAUAGCAGCUUUUUCAUUUUGGUUAAUUUGUUAAAGUACUUUUAGAAGUUUGCUCUAGUUUUGCCAGUAAUCAGAUGGUUAGGCAAAGACUUAUGGAAAAGUAUGUCUGUCUUUCUCUGACAGAUUUUUCUCUUCAUCUGUGCCUUCAUUAUUUUCUAGGCAUUUACAUUUUGCAAUUAGUCAAGCAAGUCAAAUUAGCCUUGUAUUUUGGACCAAGGUAAGCUUCUGAGAUCUGCAUCAUCCUGUAGCAGGGUGCUCUAUAGCCUGUGUGAGUUCGGUGAUGAAUUACCUCAUUUUGUUUGUUCAGCACCUGCCUCCUCCUUGUAUUAUUUGAUAUUCUUGUACUGGAAGCUUCAGUAAAUUUAUCUGUAGUCACCUCUUCCCUGCCUCUCUCUCUUUUCUCCCCUCAGUCACGUUUUCCAGGCUGAAGAGCUUUACCUCAUUUAUUUGUUCCUUGUAUGGAAGCUGGUCCACAACUUUCGAUUAUUUUUGUUGCCCUUCUCUGUUAACCGCAAGGUGGUUUACACAGUGUUCAAACUGAUAACUCUUCCAGUUUCUAGAGCUUUAAUAGAUAGGAAUAGAAAAUUAUUUACAUGGUGCUCACGCUUUGCGGUUACCUUUGAUGACGUAAGCACCUUACACCUCGUGUCAGCAGGGAGACCUUACUUUCAUUUAAGCAGUCCAAAUGCCACGUCGUUACUGUGUUAUUAAUACAUGGUGUCUAGAGAAAGCCUAUUGCAUGCCAUAAAUGGAGAAGUCAUUGUAAUAUUAGGACUCGUUAGUGAUAUUUACUUCAGAAGAUGUUAAAAAGCUCUUGCACUGCAAGUCCUAUUUCCUGGGAAUGAAGACACUGCAUUCAAUUAUAAUUAAAUUCACUUCCUAAAAAUGAACGUAUGUGAAAACAUCAUAUCCAAUAACCCUUGCAUAUCAGAAGCCAUUCAUUCUAUGACAAGUUUAAAUAGCGUCUUACUUGCAUUCUCACAAAUUUGCAGAAUAACUGAAUGAUGCUCAAUAAACUUUGGGACAUUAAGAGAUGGAAGGUAGGUAAAGAGAGCUUCCUGGCAAAUGCCUCACAGCUCCAUUUGCACCCAGUAAUGUCUCUGCAGCUCCCAACUAUAUUUAACGAGACAGUAGCCCAGAGAGGAGAGUACAGGGUGGUAGGCAGCCCUGAGCUGGUUUAUGAAGAAACCCUGCCUGACAGCUAAAAGCAGCUUAUUUUCAGGUGUAUCUUGAUGCUGCCUUUUUACUAUCUCUCUUCAUAGUCUCUUAGGCUACUGUAGCCAUUUAACUUAGCUGCUAGUCAGCAGAUAAACAUUCAUAGCUUAUGUUUCCAAUGGAUUAAAAGGAAAGUAGUCAGUGAUUUGCAGAGGAACAGCAGUCGUACCACUGAAAUAACAGGUCAAAAGCAUGAGCACCUCCACACCCUCUCUUUUGUUUAUAGCCCGUAAUAGGAAGUAAUUAACUGUGUUAUUGUUUGCUUGUUUUCCAUAUGUUUGGUUGUUAGGUUGGUUUUUUUACACAGCAGCAAGGAAGAUAGAAGUAUUUUUUUAAAUGGGCAAAUGUAGAUCCAUCUAUGCCAUAGUGCAUCUGCCAUUAUAAUUCUGCCUGCAGGGUGACUGCAUGCAACAUGUGCUAAUGGAAGGAGCUACUCUUUUCUUUUUCUUUUUUCUUUUUUUUUUGAUUUGCACAGCUACACUACCUCCCUUACCACAUGACAGAGACAAAAAUGUUGUCCUCUUGGUAGAGAGAACAGUUGUAUUGUCAUCUAAGAUUUUGCCAUCAACAAAGGCCUAAGAAAAUUUCAGCUCUUGAACUAGUACAGCUACACAGGCAAAACUUGGUAGAGCAGGCUGCGCCCGUGCUUAUAAAACAAUUAAGCUGGCAGGCAAAUUCUGUGGGAGGUCUGAUGCUGUAAUCUCAGAGGCAGUAUUUAAAACAGAUAACUGAUUUCACUGGAACAAAUCAUGUGGGUAAGAUCUACUCAUGUGAGGAAAGAUUAUUUUGGGAACCUGCUCCUGAUGUUGGCAAACAAUAAUUACAGAGCAGGAAACACUGACAUCAGUUUUAAGGAACAUUUAAGAGAAAAACACUAUCAAAACUCUUGAGAAGAAACUAAAAAUACGUGCUGAGUUUCUAAAAGUAUGAAUACCCUUUGCAAGUGGAAAGACCACGUUAAGGACUACCAAGGUUGUCUCUCAGAGGUUCAGGGAGUGAACAUUGUGAAAAAUGAAAAGCACGUUGUCUCAUGUAUUGCUUUUAGUAACCUUUACCCAUACAGGAAAAUUUAUGAGCAAUUAAGUUGUAAUUGAACGUUACUGGUGGGUGCCUCCAGGUAAACUUUUCACAAACAGUUCCAAUAUUAAUGCCUGUACCAGAAGAAAAUCUAGCCUGUUCUUCCACAGUUCUGCUGACUCGGGGAGGUAGAUGUAAACUAAAAAAGGAGCAAACUAACCCAAUAAGAACAAUAACUUAAAAAAAAUAAUAAUCUGUGUGCAAGCAUUCCAAAUUGCCUUAUUCUCAGUUGCUUUUUCUGGGCUUUAUCUUCAAUCAAAUAUACUUUGCUUGUCAUUAGUAUUAAGUCAGUAACAAUUAAUGCAAGAUGCAAGUACAAACUGAAGAUAUAAUAGAAGAAAAGCAGCUUCCACCGCCUUCUCAAGAAGCACAAUGAUGUAUAUACGUACAGAUUCGUAGAUUCUGAAAGUAGAACAACUAUUACAUAAUCUAGUCUAAUAUUUGCAAAAAGCCAAAGAAUUUCGUGACAAGAUUCCUGCGUGACAGCCAUGACUUUUGACUGAACUGGAACACAUUAUUUAGAAGAUAAGAUCCAUCUUAGAGGUAGCACAGGCCCCAAGUCAAGCAGAGCUCAAGCAAAAGAACUGCCGAUGAAGCACCUCAAUCUCCAUGAACACCAGCUGGAAAAGAAAUGCGACCUUGGGCAGCUUCCCCACCUGAGCCCCCUCCGCUGGCACAGCUGGAAGGAGUGCGCUGUGUACAAGCGACCCAGGUGGGACCCAUUGAAAGAACAAACUGUGCAGCCUGUGAGCCUAGCUGUCCUCCUGUCCUCAUGGCUGGAGACAUAGCCAAGCUGUCAGAUGUCCUGGCACUGAGGAGGGAUAUGCGGUAUUUCAGGAUAAAGAAGUAUGCGGCUCCUUCAACAGGGCGCUGGUUACCAAGCGGCAGCCUGCAGACACCGUCGCAAAAUGAGGACGUUGCAACGGGACUGCAGAACCAAACUGGCCAUGGUGCAUUUGCGAUCCAAAGCUGAAUACCAGGUGCUUGCUGGCCCACGAGUAACGCUGAGGGUUGGCCAUGGUCAACAGACCAAAAAUGUGUAACCACUGUUCUAAUGCCACUCUGUCUUUUAUUGAUCAAUCCAGAAACUGGAGAUAAGGUCAGUUUGUAUGUUUUGGAUUUCUAAUACACGUUUCUUUUUACUUCUACAUUACUGUACACACCGAUUUAUGGCUAAAAGGACCAAACUUCAGCUUUAACGUAGGCAAGGGUUAAUCUACUGAAAUCAACUGAGUUAUAGCUAAGCUAUUGGGUGAAUUUGGCCCAGUAUUCAAACUCUCCUUGUGCUUCUACAUAGAGAUACUUAACGUCUAUCAAUUAUUUCAUGUCAGAUGUAGGACAGCAUUCUGCAUAAACUGUUACUCAAAGUAGAGCCACGUUGAAG